rnacentral:lncRNA from 1 species
CAAGAUCUUUGCUAAGAAAACCCAUAAUGGAGUCACAACGUGUAAGAGUCAGACAUGGCUGGAAAAUGACUGAACAAAUACAAAAAUAUCAAGAUUUCAUCCCUAGUAAAUUUAAAGAAAAACUGGUCAUUUGUGGUUCUUUGGAAAACUGCAACACUUCACUUGAGACCUCUCUAGGAAGUGUUCACAGCUGACAAAGCACACAUUCCUUUGAUGCUCUUCCCCCAUACUUCAGUAAUGAUUACAGAAGAAAAGGGCAGAAGUGAAGUGGGGGAGAGACUCCUCUCUUAGAAGUAAUAGGCAUCACCCAUUGGCUAAUUAAAUCUCAAUUACAUUACAUCAGUGUUUGCAAUUCAGACCCUUGCAAGUUUUCAAGGAUUUACAUCCCAGGCUAUCUAAAUAACUCAGCAAAAGCUAAACUGACCUUGACCGAGCUGUAUCCUUCUCAGCUGAAUUUAAAUUUAGAAAAAUGGAGGUCGUUUUGACACAGCUUAAAGAUUUUUCUUCAAAAUCUGUCACAUUUAAUAGCUGUAGCCCAGCAGAAGUUUCCUCCUUGAGGUGUUACAGCAAAGAAGAUGGACCCAAUAGACAGAGCUUAGACAUUGAAAGUGCCUUGGCUUUCCUCAGAAAAGAGCUGAUGGAGGUCCGAUGCUUGGAUCAGAUACUCAUUAAAUUGUUGAUGGAACUCCAUGCUGGCAUCCAAGACUUGAAGCAAGAAUAUAGUGAUUUGACAGAUGCAGAAUCCAGCUCCCACCAAAUGGACAAUCCCAACGAUAUAUAUUUUGAUGUACCGAUAUUAAUAAAACCUUUCCUUCUGUAUAAAAUUCCUUUAAGGAAGACAUCUUGUAGAAGAAGUUCCAUGCCAUGAUCCAGCAAUAUAAACUGAUCUUCUGAUGCUAAUCAAUAUCAAUUAGUAUUUCUAACUCAGAAUAUUUCCUUCUCUGCACCAUACCAGGAAGGAAUGUUUAUAUGAUUCCUUUUACUUUCAGAUGUUUUGUUAAAUGAAGUUAACCGUAGUAGAUGAGUCCAUUUUGCUAAUGUUUUUCUUCAUCUUCCUCAUCUGUUUGAUUUUUAAGAAGCCAACUCUUAGUCUCAAAUCAAAUAACAACAGAAAGGUUCAAGCUUCUAAUAGAAUUAGGUUAAUUUUCAUUUAGGUAACUAAAAACCAAAUGUGAGCAUUUUGGAUAGACAGUAAGGAUAUUGCCUUAUGAGAAAUAAGUGUGUAUAUAACUUCCUAUAAAGAUAAGUCUUUCAGUUUUUGAAACUCCCAACACUUCUGUCUUUCCUGAUAUUUCAACACUUCCUAAUGACGAUAGACAUGCAUUCAGAAGAUACCCAAAAUGUAAAAGCACAGAUUUAUAUCUUUUUAAAAAAAUUUUAGUUAAAAAUUUUAAUCAAGCAUUUUAUUUUGUUUCACAUUUUUAAAUUGUAUUCUUAAAAUAAAGUUUAGUUCUUAUGCA